rnacentral:rRNA from 1 species
UACGUAGGGUGCGAGCGUUGUCCGGAAUUACUGGGCGUAAAGAGCUCGUAGGUGGUUUGUCGCGUUGUCCGUGAAAACUCACAGCUUAACUGUGGGCGUGCGGGCGAUACGGGCAGACUGGAGUACUGCAGGGGAGACUGGAAUUCCUGGUGUAGCGGUGGAAUGCGCAGAUAUCAGGAGGAACACCGGUGGCGAAGGCGGGGCUCUGGGCAGUAACUGACGCUGAGGAGCGAAAGCGUGGGGAGCGAACAGG